rnacentral:rRNA from 1 species
ACUUUUACUGAGAGCUCUUUCUAGAUUCUACGGGUGGUGGUGCAUGGCCAUUCUUAGUUGGUGAAGCAAUUUAUUUGAUUAAUUUGGUUAACGAACGAGACCUCAGUCUCCUAACUAGCUAUGCCAAUGUAACCCUUUGUGGCCAGCUUCUUAGAGGGACUACGACCUUUUAGGUCGUGGAAGUUUGAGAAAAUAAUAGGUCUAUGGUGCCCUUAGAU